rnacentral:siRNA from 1 species
GCAAAGUGAUUCAGGUAGUCGU